CGCCUAACACAUGCAAGUCGAACGGUUAAAGCUUCUUCGGAAGUGCAUAGAGUGGCGAACGGCUGAGUAACACGUGGGCAACCUGCCCCCUCCCCGGAAUAGCCUCGCGAAAGCGGGAUUAAUGCCGGAUACUCCGCCAUCCCCCGCAUGGGGGAGGCGGGAAAGCCCAGACGGGGGGGAUGGGCCCGCGGCCUGUUAGCUAGUUGGCGGGGCAACGGCCCACCAAGGCGACUAUGGGUAGCCGGGUUGAGAGACCGACCGGCCAGAUUGGGACUGAGACACGGCCCAGACUCC
rnacentral:rRNA from 1 species